AGCGAACGCUGGCGGCAGGCCUAACACAUGCAAGUCGAACGAACCUUUCGGGGUUAGUGGCGGACGGGUGAGUAACACGUGGGAACGUGCCUUUAGGUUCGGAAUAACUCAGGGAAACUUGUGCUAAUACCGAAUGUGCCCUUCGGGGGAAAGAUUUAUCGCCUUUAGAGCGGCCCGCGUCUGAUUAGCUAGUUGGUUGAGGUAAUGGCUCACCAAGGCGACGAUCAGUAGCUGGACUGAGAGGAUGAUCAGCCACAUUGGGACUGAGACACGGCCCAAACUCCUACGGGAGGCAGCAGUGGGGAAUCUUGCGCAAUGGGCGAAAGCCUGACGCAGCCAUGCCGCGUGAAUGAUGAAGGUCUUAGGAUUGUAAAAUUCUUUCACCGGGGACGAUAAUGACGGUACCCGGAGAAGAAGCCCCGGCUAACUUCGUG
rnacentral:rRNA from 1 species